rnacentral:rRNA from 1 species
UACGUAGGGUGCGAGCGUUAAUCGGAAUUACUGGGCGUAAAGCGUGCGCAGGCGGUUUUGUAAGCCAGAUGUGAAAUCCCCGGGCUUAACCUGGGAAUGGCAUUUGGGACUGCAAGGCUUGGAGUGCGGCAGAGGAGACUGGAAUUCCUGGUGUAGCGGUGAAAUGCGCAGAUAUCAGGAAGAACACCCGUGGCGAAGGCGGCUCUCUGGGACGGUACUGACGCUGAGACGCGAAAGCGUGGGGAGCGAACAGG